rnacentral:misc_RNA from 1 species
CGCGAUUAAUCGAGACGUUACGAUCUUAAUACGUGAGGGAUAAUCUCGAUAAUGAGUUUAAAGGAAUGCGAUCUUUCAAUGUACGCGCCGUUUUUCGCGGUUUUUCAAACAACUUGUGUAAACAGAUGACUGAUAACGAAGGCACCGCACGACACUAGCGAUAAGUAGACGUUGGACAGUCCGACACUCGUCUGGCUGAUCGUGAUAUUUCACAACGAAACAUUGGCCACACAAUUCCAGGGAUGUUGGAAGGGAAUCCUUCGAGCGAAUACACGAAGAUAGGCAUCGUGGUAGCCUU